rnacentral:rRNA from 1 species
CCUACGGGGUGCAGCAGUGAGGAAUAUUGGUCAAUGGGCGCGAGCCUGAACCAGCCAAGUAGCGUGAAGGAUGACUGCCCUACGGGUUGUAAACUUCUUUUAUAAAGGAAUAAAGUGAGGUAUGUAUACUUCUUUGCAUGUACUUUAUGAAUAAGGAUCGGCUAACUCCGUGCCAGCAGCCGCGGUAAUACGGAGGAUCCGAGCGUUAUCCGGAUUUAUUGGGUUUAAAGGGAGCGUAGGUGGGUUGUUAAGUCAGUUGUGAAAGUUUGCGGCUCAACCGUAAAAUUGCAGUUGAUACUGGCAGUCUUGAGUACAGUUGAGGUAGGCGGAAUUCGUGGUGGAGCGGUGAAAUGCUUAGAUAUCACGAAGAACUCCGAUUGCGAAGGCAGCUUACUAAACUGCAACUGACGUUGAUGCUCGAAAGUGUGGGUAUCAAACAGGAUUAGAUACCCCUGUAGUC